UAAUGUAAUCAUAAUUUAAAAUAUAAGCAUGCAUGAUCUCAUCUUAGAAAGUAGAUGAUACGAAUAUGAGAGUUGGGAAAGUGGGCCAGCU